AUUGAACGCUGGCGGCAGGCCUAACACAUGCAAGUCGAACGAGUGGCGGACGGGUGAGUACUGUCUGGGAAACUGCCUGAUGGAGGGGGAUAACUACUGGAAACGGUAGCUAAUACCGCAUACCAUCAGAUGUGCCCAGAUGGGAUGGGCUAGGUGGUGGGGUAACGGCGCACCAAGGCGACGAGCCCUAGCUGGUCUGAGAGGAUGACCAGCCACACUGGAACUUAGACACGGUCCAGACUCCUACGUGCGGCAGCAUGGGUGAAUAUUGCACAAUGGUCGCAAGCCUGAUGCAGCCAUGCCGCGUGUAUGAAGAAGGCCUUCGGGUUGUAAAGUACUUUCAGCGGGGAGGCGUUACCCGCAGAAGAAGCACCGGCUAACUCCGUGCCAGCAGCCGCGGUAAUAC
rnacentral:rRNA from 1 species